AAGAUUUCACAAUGGUUUGAUAACUAUGUACAUAUAGGAUACUGAUUUGAGACUCUCCCAAUUCUCUCAUAACCUCAAUGGACUAGGCUGGACUCAAUAUAUCUCUUCACCAGUGCCUUGGUUUCUCACAGCAUUUGCCAUCACC
rnacentral:lncRNA from 1 species